rnacentral:rRNA from 1 species
UACGUAGGGGGCUAGCGUUGUCCGGAUUUAUUGGGCGUAAAGAGCGUGUAGGCGGCCAGGUAGGUCUGCUGUGAAAACUCGAGGCUCAACCUCGAGACGCCGGUGGAAACCGUAAAGCUAGAGUCCGGAAGAGGAGAGUGGAAUUCCUGGUGUAGCGGUGAAAUGCGCAGAUAUCAGGAAGAACACCCGUGGCGAAGGCGGCUCUCUGGGACGGUACUGACGCUGAGACGCGAAAGCGUGGGGAGCGAACAGG